rnacentral:rRNA from 1 species
GACGAACGCUGGCGGCGUGCUUAACACAUGCAAGUCGAACGGAAAGGCCCUGCUUGCAGGGUACUCGAGUGGCGAACGGGCGAGUAACACGUGGGUGAUCUGCCCUGCACUUCGGGAUAAGCCUGGGAAACUGGGUCUAAUACCGGAUAGGGGCCAUUUUUAGUGUGAUGGUUGGAAAGUUUUUUCGGUGUAGGAUGGGCUCGCGGCCUAUCAGCUGGUUGGUGGGGUAAUGGCCUACCAAGGCGGCGACGGGUAGCCGGCCUGAGAGGGUGGACGGCCACAUUGGGACUGAGAUACGGCCCAGACUCCUACGGGAGGCAGCAGUGGGGAAUAUUGCACAAUGGGCGCAAGCCUGAUGCAGCGACGCCGCGUGGGGGAUGACGGCCUUCGGGUUGUAAACUCCUUUCGCUAGGGACGAAGCUUUUUGUGACGGUACCUAGAUAAGAAGCACCGGCUAACUACGUG